AAAAAAAAACAAGUGAGUAACCUGCCCUUGACGUUGGGAUAACUUCAGGACACUUGGUCUAAUACCGGCUACGAGCUCCUGCUGCAUGUUGGUGGUUGGAAAGUUUCGGCGGUUGUUGAUUGACUCGCGGCUUAUCAGCGUGUUGGUGGGGUAGUGGCUUACCAAGGAUUUGACGGGUAGCCGGCCUGAGAGGGUGACCGGACAAAUUGGGACGGGAAUGUGGCAGAGACUACUACGGGAUGCAGCAGUGGGGAAUAUUGCACAAUGGGCGGAACCAUGAUGCAGUAAUGUAUUUUUUUUUA
rnacentral:rRNA from 1 species